CCCGCAUUCCAGUGAUAUCAUUGUUUGAAUCCAUGUGUCCUGCUUAAGCUCAGCAAUCCAUCCGAAGGUUCAUAAGUCAUAACAAAACUACAUAGUUGCUUUUAACGUCCAAUCAUCAAGUUUACAAGAGUAAAAUCUCUACUAAAUGAGUAAGACUUCCAUGGUUCAACAGAUAUCAAGCUUUAUUCUUCCUGAUGCAGAAAACCAUCGCAUCGCCUGGCAGGGGUAUCCUUGCCAUGGAUGAGUCGAAUGCUACCUGUGGCAAGAGACUUGCCUCGAUUGGCCUUGAGAACACCGAGGCUAACCGCCAGGCUUACCGGACCCUCCUUGUCACUCCACCAGGCUUGGGAAACUACAUCUCUGGUGCUAUCCUCUUUGAGGAGACCCU
rnacentral:lncRNA from 1 species